rnacentral:rRNA from 1 species
UACGUAGGGUGCAAGCGUUGUCCGGAAUUAUUGGGCGUAAAGAGCUCGUAGGUGGCCUGUCGCGUCGGCUGUGAAAACUCGGGGCUCAACUCCGAGCUUGCAGUCGAUACGGGCAGGCUAGAGUUCGGCAGGGGAGACUGGAAUUCCUGGUGUAGCGGUGAAAUUCGCAGAUAUCAGGAGGAACACCGGUGGCGAAGGCGGGUCUCUGGGCCGAUACUGACGCUGAGGAGCGAAAGCGUGGGGGAGCGA